rnacentral:rRNA from 1 species
UACGUAGGGGGCAAGCGUUGUCCGGAAUCAUUGGGCGUAAAGCGCGUGUAGGCGGCUCGAUAAGUCUGCUGUGAAAGUUCAGGGCUCAACCCUGAAAUGCCGGUGGAAACUGUCGAGCUAGAGUCCGGAAGAGGCGAAGUGGAAUUCCUGGUGUAGCGGUGAAAUGCGCAGAUAUCAGGAGGAACACCAAUGGCGAAGGCAGCUCGCUGGGACGGUACUGACGCUGAGACGCGAAAGCGUGGGGAGCAAACAGG